GACGAACGCUGGCGGCGUGCCUGAUACAUGCAAGUAGAACGCAGAUGCGAACGGGGGAGUAACGCGAAGGUAACUGCCUGGUAGAGGGGGGUAACUAUGGGAAACGAUAGCUAAUACCGAAGACAAACAGAUGGAACUGCGUUGGAUUAGCUAGUUGGUGGGGUAACGGCCCACCAAGGCAACGCUACGUAGCCGACCUGAGAGGGUGACCGGCCACACUGGGACUGAGACACGGCCCAGACUCCUACGGGAGGCAGCAGUAGGGAAUCUUCGGCAAUGGACGGAACCCUGACCGAGCAACGCCGCGUGAGUGAAGACGGGUUUCGGAUCGUCAAGCUCUGUUGUUAGGGACGCGGUACCUAACUAGAAAGCGACGGCUAACUACGUGCCAGCAGCCGCGGUAAUUC
rnacentral:rRNA from 1 species